rnacentral:rRNA from 1 species
AACGAACGCUGGCGGCGUGCCUAAGACAUGCAAGUCGUGCGAGAAAAGGGCUUCGGCCCCUAGUAGAGCGGCGCACGGGUGAGUAACGCGUGGGUAAUCUGCCUCCGGGUCCGGGAUAACCUCGGGAAACUGGGGCUAAUACCGGAUGAGACCACGAGGUCCUCGGGCCUCGCGGAAAAAGGUGGCCUCUUCAUGAAAGCUUUCGCCUGGAGAUGAGCCCGCGUCCCAUUAGCUAGUUGGUGAGGUAACGGCUCACCAAGGCUCCGAUGGGUAGCUGGUCUGAGAGGACGACCAGCCACACUGGAACUGAGACACGGUCCAGACUCCUACGGGAGGCAG